rnacentral:lncRNA from 1 species
UUUAGCAUCUUAAUAACGGGUUAUAUUGUUCUUUUAUCUAUUUGUCUUUAUUCUAUUAUUUAUAUUGCUUUAAAAUUACUGUUUGUUCUGUUUUCUGGGAUAUUCCUUUGACAUAGCUCGGUACUGAUACAUCCCGUUCAUGUGUUUGUAUUAUCUUUCAUUUUUGCUGGUGUGUUUUGUGCGUGUUUUUUUUUUUUUGUGUUUCUUUAAUACAUAUGACGUGGCUUUACACGUUUAAAGAUCCCGCAAUUAUGUUCUUGUUCUAUUAUAAUUUUGAAAAAUACUUAAACGACAAAAACAUAUGUUGAUUCUUAAAAAUUCUAAAGACUUUCUGAAUAAUUUUAGAUCUCGGUCUUUUUCAGAAAUUAG